rnacentral:rRNA from 1 species
CAGUUCGGAUCGCAGGCUGCAACUCGCCUGCGUGAAGUUGGAAUUGCUAGUAAUCGCGGAUCAGCAUGCCGCGGUGAAUACGUUCCCGGCCUUGUACACACCGCCCGUCACACCAUGGGAGUUUGUAACACCCGAAGUCAGUAUCCUAACCGCAAGGGGGGAGCUGCCGAAGGUGGGAUAAGCGACUGGGGUGAAGUCGUAACAAGGUACC